AUACCUUAUAUGUAAUCACAGCAGUCAGGCGGCGAGUGAUAAAAUCCGUCGUCAAGAGGGAAACAACCCAGACUACCAGCUAAGGUCCCUAAAUCUUACUUAAGUGGAAAACGAUGUGAAGUUACUUAAACAACCAGGAGGUUGGCUUAGAAGCAGCCAUCCUUUAAAGAAAGCGUAAUAGCUCACUGGUCUAGUGAUUUUGCGCGGAAAAUAUAACGGGGCUAAAGUAAGUACCGAAGCUGUAGACUUGCGCACAACUUAGAUUAUUUAAGUUUAGAAUAUGAGAAACUAAGUUAUGUUUAGUUAUAUUUUUACUGAUUUUUAUAGAGUAAAGAUAGAAAUAAAACUUAGUAAAAUCAGUAAAAAUAUUCUUAGGCUAAAGUUAAGUAGUUUAAGUUGUGUGCAAGUGGUAGGAGAGCGUUCUAUUUGCGUCGAAGGUAUACCGGUAAGGAGUGCUGGAGCGAAUAGAAGUGAGCAUGCAGGCAUGAGUAGCGAUAAUUAAUGUGAGAAUCAUUAACGCCGUAAACCCAAGGUUUCCUACGCGAUGCUCGUCAUCGUAGGGUUAGUCGGGUCCUAAGUCGAGUCCGAAAGGGGUAGACGAUGGCAAAUUGGUUAAUAUUCCAAUACCAACAUUAGUGUGCGAUGGAAGGACG
rnacentral:rRNA from 1 species